rnacentral:rRNA from 1 species
GAUGAACGCUGGCGGCGUGCCUAAUACAUGCAAGUCGAGCGAACAGAUAAGGAGCUUGCUCCUUUGACGUUAGCGGCGGACGGGUGAGUAACACGUGGGUAACCUACCUAUAAGACUGGGAUAACUUCGGGAAACCGGAGCUAAUACCGGAUAACAUUUGGAACCGCAUGGUUCUAAAGUGAAAGAUGGUUUUGCUAUCACUUAUAGAUGGACCCGCGCCGUAUUAGCUAGUUGGUAAGGUAACGGCUUACCAAGGCGACGAUACGUAGCCGACCUGAGAGGGUGAUCGGCCACACGGGAACUGAGACACGGUCCAGACUCCUACGGGAGGCAGCAGUAGGGAAUCUUCCGCAAUGGGCGAAAGCCUGACGGAGCAACGCCGCGUGAGUGAUGAAGGGUUUCGGCUCGUAAAACUCUGUUAUUAGGGAAGAACAAAUGUGUAAGUAACUGUGCACGUCUUGACGGUACCUAAUCAGAAAGCCACGGCUAACUACGUG